AAAUAAAUACAGAAAAAUCAAAAAAAA
rnacentral:sRNA from 1 species